CAACGGAGAAACAUACAAUAAACUUGUCAAGCAGUUUGUCGAUUCACGCCAUGCUUGGGUUCGUUCGCUCGUUCGUUUGCUUAUUCGUCGGUUCUUAGUUCGGAUGUUCGUUAGUUGUUUAUUAUUAUUCAUUCGAAGGAAGGUGCGGUGGGUAUCGAAACGCUAAGCAAUGUACAUUCACACGCAUAUGCGUGAGAACCUAAUUGGAGGCGCUAUGAUGUGGCGGACGUCACUGCCACUUGGCACAGCGCAAAUACUUGACUGUCUGCCUACGCACGAGCAUGAUUUGAGCGAUUGGUAGGAACUAAACAAACAAAGUCGUAUAGCUAGGAUGGUUAUGGAAUUUAUGGGAAUGUACUAUGUAGAUACUACAAACAUACGUACACCGAAUAGAGCAAACAUGUUCAGUUAAUACGGCAGUGUACGAAAUAACCGUGAAGUUCUGAUAUAGUAAAAUAUUAGGAUGCCAAAUUUUCUGCCUACAUAUUUAUGUAUGAGUAUGCAUGCACAUUCAUAUGCAUCUAUUUUGUAAAUGACAUUUUCUGUAUAAUAUCUCUACUAGAUCAUCCAUAAUUAAAUC